rnacentral:rRNA from 1 species
GUCGAGCGAGAAGGCCUUCGGGCUGAGUACAGCGGCGGACGGGUGAGUAACGCGUAGGAAUCUACCUGGUAGUGGGGGACAACAUGGUGAAAACCAUGCUAAUACCGCAUACGCCCUACGGGGGAAAGCGGGGGACCUUCGGGCCUCGUGCUAUCGGAUGAGCCUGCGUUGGAUUAGCUUGUUGGUGAGGUAAAAGCUCACCAAGGCGACGAUCCAUAGCUGGUCUGAGAGGAUGAUCAGCCACACUGGAACUGAGACACGGUCCAGACUCCUACGGGAGGCAGCAGUGGGGAAUAUUGCGCAAUGGGCGAAAGCCUGACGCAGCCAUGCCGCGUGUGUGAAGAAGGCCUUAGGGUUGUAAAGCACUUUCAAUUGGGAAGAAAGGUUGUACGUUAAUAGCGUGCAACUGUGACAUUACCUUUAGAAGAAGCACCGGCUAACUCCGUG